rnacentral:rRNA from 1 species
UACGGAGGGGGUUAGCGUUGUUCGGAAUGACUGGGCGUAAAGCGCGCGUAGGCGGAUCAGGAAGUUGGGGGUGAAAUCCCGGGGCUCAACCCCGGAAUGGCCUUCAAAACUCCUGGUCUUGAGUUCGAGAGAGGUGAGUGGAAUUCCGAGUGUAGAGGUGAAAUUCGUAGAUAUUCGGAGGAACACCAGUGGCGAAGGCGGCUCACGGGCUCGACACUGACGCUGAGGUGCGAAAGCGUGGGGAGCAAACAGG